AUGGCGUACUGUGAAAUGGAUGAGCAGGGCAAGGCAUACAGGUUUGGCCUCUUUAUAGCAACGGCUAAGAUGACAAAGGGGCCAACAUGUUUGACAGUAGACUUUGAGUUCGCUGCAAGGACAAGAUCGUCAGGAAAAUUCAUGACCAGGUGGGAGCACAAGUAUACCUUCGGCGGUGAUUGGAUGCCCGGAUGCAGUGAUCUUUUUGAGGUUCCAUGGUCGACAUGCAUUGCCAACGACAACCUCUUCAUCGAUGGCGUGCUGCAUCUGAGAGCUGACUUGAGGGCGUUGGUGGCGCCGCCAGGACAACAGGCUUGA
rnacentral:rRNA from 1 species